rnacentral:rRNA from 1 species
UGCGUAGGCGGAAUAUUAAGUCAGUGGUGAAAUCCUGCGGCUCAACCGUAGAACUGCCAUUGAUACUGAUAUUCUUGAAUGUAGUUGAGAUAGGCGGAAUGUGUAAUGUAGCGGUGAAAUGCUUAGAUAUUACACAGAACACCGAUUGCGAAGGCAGCUUACUAAACUAUGAUUGACGCUGAGGCACGAAAGCGUGGGGAGCGAACAGGAUUAGAUACCCUGGUAGUCC